UCUCCGUUGGUGAACCAGCGGAGGGAUCAUUACAGGACUCGCAAGACUCCUUCACCCUGUGAACCUCACUACAAGCACGUUGCUUCGGCGGGUGUCCCGGCGGGGGUUUUCCCUCGCCGGGGCGCACAGCCCGCCGGCAGCCUACUAUACUCUGUCUCUUUGCGUUGGCAUCUCGAGAAAACACAAACAAGUUAAAACUUUCAACAACGGAUCUCUUGGUUCUG
rnacentral:misc_RNA from 1 species